rnacentral:misc_RNA from 1 species
GAAAGUUCAAGAGGAUUGAAAAAUCUGUCAACACCUAUAUGUUCAGCACAUCAAAUGGGAAGUUGUAGAAUGGGAAUUGAUCCAAAAAUAUCAGUUGUAAAUCCAAAAGGAGAAACAUGGGAAGUUGAAGAUUUGUUUAUUGGUGAUACAAGUGUUUUUCCAACUGCUCUUGGUGUCAACCCUAUGCUCACUGUUCAAGCAAUUUCAUAUUGCACUGCAC